AACGAACGCUGGCGGCAUGCCUAACACAUGCAAGUCGAACGAGACCUUCGGGUCUAGUGGCGCACGGGUGCGUAACGCGUGGGAACCUGCACUUAGGUUCGGAAUAACUCCCCGAAAGGGGUGCUAAUACCGGAUAAUGUCAUCGGACCAAAGAUUUAUCGCUGUUGGGUGGGCCCGCGUUGGAUUAGCUAGUUGGUAGGGUAAAAGCCUGCCAAGGCGACGAUCCAUAGCUGGUCUGAGAGGAUGAUCAGCCACACUUGGGCUGAGACACGGCCCAGACUCCUACGGGAGGCAGCAGUAGGGAAUAUUAGACGAUGGGCGAAAGCCUGAUCCAGCAAUGCCGCGUGAGUGAUGAAGGCGUUAGGGUUGUAAAGCUCUUUUACCCGGGAUGAUAAUGACAGUACCGGGAGAAUAAGCACCGGCUAACUCCGUG
rnacentral:rRNA from 1 species